GAUGGUGGCAAUUGAGACAACUGCCAAGUAACCCGAGGGCUGGGAUAGAGGAGCAGGGAAGAGAAAGCCAGGGAUCAAACCUGCAACCUCAUCGUUCCUAGUUGGAUUUGUUAACCACUGCACCACAAUGGGAACUCCUAAAUAUAUACAUUUUUGACCUGCAGCUUAGAAGUCUCGCAGAGGUUGCAGCCUUAAAUAUUUUUGAAACCUUGCUCUACUGUGGCCUGAUGAGAAUUUUAGCCAUUUUGUGUUAUCUGUCAGAGUUGACCUAUUACUUCAACUUCCCUUCCCAGAAACACUGUCCUGUUGCUCCUGAGCCCUCCCAGCACUGCAGUUGGGUCCCCAGGCCUCUCAGCUACCUCCGUGCCGAGUAAGCACAGCACAGGUGGGCACCAAGAUAGGUGCUCAAGCUAAGGAAGAAAGAUGUAUUUUUUGAUACAUUUUUAAUUUCAGAAGUGCUUUUAUACAGGUGUCUGAAUUGAUAUUUAAAGUGGGAAUGAAAGGUUUUUGGUUUCUUAUUUGUGCAUCAGUGAGGCAGGGCCAGGUCCAGGGUUCAGCCCUGCGGCUUCCUGUUGCUGCUUGUCAUCAUAGAGUUCACAUCAGUAUCUCCCAGUGGUGUGAUGCUGUCGCCAAGGGGGUGAGUGGCUCUGCAAGAUAAGCAGAAGCCUGGAAACUGGCUUCAGAACCCCUCAUCCAACCACCAUGAUGAUUUCAACACAAAUUCUUUGAGGCUUGUCAAAUGGGUUAUCCCCACAUUCAGUUAAUAUGGGCUGGCUCUCCAGCCACUCCUUGAGCAGAUGACACUGCUCAGAAGACAGUGGCUGUGCCUGGGGACUGUGCCUGGGAAGCUCCAGGCUCUUGAAGUAAAAGUCAGUCUUCUGUGAACAUCUUAAAUGAAAUCCUUGCCCACUUUGCCAUUCCUUUUAAGAAAGGCCUUUGGAGAGUCUUAAAGUGGGUAUUUGAAUAGCAUUAAACGUGAUUUUUUUUUUUUUGGUCUUUUUAGGGCCACACUGAGGCAUAUGGGGGUUCCCAGGCUAGGGGUUAAAUUGGAGUUAUAGCUGCUGGCCUACGCCACAGCUAUAGCAACUUGGGAUCCAAGCUGCAUCUGUGACCUAAACCACAGCUCACGGCAACGCUGGAUCCAUAACGCACUAAUCGAGGCAAGGGAUCAAACCCACGUCCUCAUGGAUACUGGUUGGGUUCAUUAACCGCUGAGCCAUGACGGGAACUCCAACGUGCCAAAUUCUUAAUUAUAAAAUGGUUAGAUACUUUUCUCCCAGGUUAAUAGCUUCUAAGUCAGUGUGUCAGUUUUUCUUUCUUUUUCAAGUAAGCCCUUAAGUAUGUUUUGGAAUUUUCAUUUGUUUUUCCAAUUUUUUGGUUGUUUGUGGAGCAUCUAGAAAGUAACCAGCUAUUUUCUUGUUAAGGUCUUGGUUCCAGGAGUAAAAAUCCUGGCAGAGCUUUGGAAGGCACUAGAAGACUGUCAUCUUCCUAGAGCAGGACCUCACCCUGCCUUCUCUCUCUUCUUUCCUUCCUGCCUGACUCCCCACAGACCAUGCACCCACCAUCCAAGGGGAUGGGGAUCAGAAGUACCCCUCUUACUCAAAACAGCACAAUGAGUGCUUUAAAUCAGGGUAUUUUAACCUUAUGUGGGGGAAGGGAGAAGUUUUUGUCUUCUUGAAGAUUGAACGAGAAAUCUUGUGGGUAUUUGUAUGUGUGCGUUUGGCUGCAGUGGCAGCAGCAGAGGUGAUGGUGUCUUUGAAGUUCAUCAGACUAGGUUUAGGAAGAACUAAAAAUUUAUGUCCUGUCUAAAAAACUCUUGGCAGAGUUCCCCUUGUGGCUCGGGGGGGGGGGGUAAGAAUUCAACUGGUAUCCACGAGAGUGCAGGUGUGAUACCUGGCCUUCCUCACUGGGUUAAGGAUCUGGCAUUGCCGUGAGCUGUGGUGUAGGUCGCAGAUGCGGCUCAGAACCUAGAACGAAGGCUACAGGUUCCUAGCUGGUGGGAGUCCUGCCUGCAAGCCUGGCUUCUCCUCGCCAGUCAUAGCAGGACCCCUAGGUUCUCUUUUCUCACUGCUGGCCUCUGUCCCCUCCUCAAAUCCUUAAGAUACCCUUUGUGGGAGAGCACUGGAUAAACUGGUCCUCUGAGCCAGGGAUCCUGGGCCAGGGUGUCUUCUCCUUGGUUUCCUUGGUUUCUUUUGAUCAGUACCUUCUUUGCCCCUCUGAGUUCUCACAGGGCCUCUCCUUUCAUUUUUCUUGGGUUUAUCUCUCUUAUACCACCUUCUCUUCCUCCUCUUUUUUUUUCCUGGCUAAUCCUAAAUUAAUCUCUUCCCCCUCGUGGGCUGGUUAGGUCUUGUCAUUCUUGUCUGUAGCCAGAAAGGGGGUGCUGAAGUAGAAAAAGGCCUGGGAAUCUGGUCCUUGCAGCCUCGUAACUCUGAGCAGUGCCCGUCCCUGGAUUACACUGGGGUCUCAGCUCACCCCUGCCAGUCCAGAAAUCCAGCCAUCUGCUCUUGCAGCCUCUGACUGGUCGGGAACACACAUUUGCUGUCUCUGUCACUGGCUGCCAUAGGACUUCAGGUGUAUCCUAUGAUGUGAGUUCUACUUGUGAAAGUAUGAUUCUGUUUAUAUUCCUUAUUUUAGUUUUUCCAGAGGCUGAACAGACGGAAGGUAUUGCUCUCAGAAAGACCAUUCCUCCAGGGACAGGUCCAUGUAUGAGAGAACUGGUGACAGAGGUGCCUUAUUGUAACAGAACCCUGUUAACAGAAAUGUAAAUUACAGUCAAAGAUGAUGUCUUCUACCUUUGGCAGUUUAAGUCUCUCCUCCUCUCUGAAUUUCUCCCCUGAUGUUCUGGGACGUCAAGGAUCUGGCGCUGAAAGGGUUUUUGGAGGACAGUUUUCUCUUGCUAUUUCUGAGGAUUCAGUAGCCCCUUGGUAGCACAUGCAGGUGAGCAUGCGAUCCGGGAGGCUCUGUGUAGGAAACCAGAUCUCUUAAUUGAUAGAGCCAUCUCAGGAGCUAGUAAUGCAAGCUGUCAGUAAUUACAAAAAACCUACUGUGAAAUUCAUCUAAAAUUAAUGAAGAGUUGGCACCAUGGAUUUUAAAUACAGUGGAAGUUUCGGCCUUGGCUCUCAGUUACGCGAGGGUAGAUUAUUUCGCGCCAGUCUUUGAGCCUUCGGCUGGCUUUCCUUUGCUCCCCAGUGGGCCUGCAGACUCCCCCCCAGUUUAAUGGAAAGCCACCAAAAAUGCAGUGCGUUCUUAAGUUUGUUGUUUGGGAUUAUCUUUUCCACUUUUCUUUUUUAUGGACACAGAGACGUGAAAGGUCAUGUGUAUUUAAAGAAAACAAUAAAAUGCGUGGAAAACGAAAAGUUGGGAGUGAAAACCAGCUAACUUAAUAGAACAUGUCACUUUUCCUCACUUUAGUUUUUUUAAAGAGGAGCAUCGUUCAGUACUUCCUUUUGUAUGUCUGUGAGCACGUGAAGGUCUCUAGGCCAGCGCUUACAUGUACCGUGACAGGUGGCUGAGGGGUUUUGAGGCUAAAGUCUAUACUACUUUGGUGACUUGUACUUUAUAGGCAUUUAAUAGGAGGGAUAUCUGGUCUGUAUGUGCUUUUAUAUGACUUGGAAGGGAACUAACUAUUCCAUUCAAAUAGAUGUCAACUAGGAUAAUGGCUUUGAGACAUCUCGCAAUGGUACGUUUUCUAGACUUGAGAUAGAAUUGUCAAAUUAUAGCAAAUAGAGUUAGAAAUUAUUUUGCAAUUUUCUCAGCAGAGUGUAAUUUCUCCUUCUGUGGAUCUAGUCAUUCUGCAAAUAGUACUGAAAAGAUACCCUUUUCUAAAACUGAUUAUUUCCCAAAUACAACGACGCCUUUUGGUUUAGAAGAAAUGGUGGAGAGAGAUUGCGGUAUAGGAGCACAAGCAGAAAGCAGUCAUUUUCAGACUUUAAUUGCAUUUUUUGCCACAUUUUUGAAGAAAGACCAAAAAUUGCCCUAUGUGUGAAUGAACAUUGGUAACUGAGUAGACCUGAAAUGAGACUGAGGUUUUAGAAUAACAAGGUCACUUUCUUCUGUGGCUUCUAGGAACAAAGGAUGUGUGAUCAUAGCGGGUCCACGGGCCAGGGUUGGUAGAAGUGGAGAGUUCAUGUAAUCUGUAGCAUUUUUAAAUUUAUGUAUUUAAAGUUCCAUGUGAGAAAAAGCUCAGAGAGAGCCAGAGUUUGUUAAAACAAAAAUGAAAAAAUUUAAAUGAGGGGAGGCAUGUGCAUGUAUUAAUUCUCACAGGAUGUUGACGGUUUUUAAAUAUCUAGGACAUAGUGUGUCAAGGGAGCCAGAGACCAGUGGGACCAGUGACUUAAGGGUUACAUUUUGAUGUAGAAACACUCAGUUGGAGAAAAAACUUGCCUAGGAGGACAGUUUCUGUGGAGACGUGCCCUGCAUUUUGAGUGACGUGCCGAGGCAUCGAAGGCUCAACAUUAAUUUUGAUCUUUCUUAGGAAGCUGGAUAAAAUAAUGUGUUUCUGAGAAGAAAAAUAGUUAUUAUGAGGUGUCGCAGUCUCGCAGAGGAAAAUGCCAACAUCCAAAAGUCUAAAGCAAAUUCUAGAACUGACAUCCUCAGCGUGGACGUCGCUGGCUUGCCGUUUGAUUUCAGGGGCUGAGCCGUGAGGUCACUGGGUACCCUAGCAAUGUGAGGGAUCCACCCUGACAAAAGGAGGGUGGCAGCUUCCUAGCAUUCUUCCUGGGAGAAAGCGUUUAAUCCCAAAUAGUUCCCAUCUUGAUGGAAACCUUGCUCACCAGGGGCGGCUCUGAGAAACUCUGGUUCCCCAAAUACCCCAAACAAUGGAGUCCUGCCACCCUUUAAAAGAAUAGUGUUUUAACUUCUUUUGGGCCCCUUGAACACAGUUCUCUCCCUAGAAAGUCGCAUAUGUACACACAGAUCAAGUUUACAUGUAGACGUAGGAACCUUUAGUUUACAAUAAGAUACAGUGAGUUUUUGAAGAGAAUUUUAGAAAAGAGUUCGCUGCUGUUACACCAUUUUCCACUGGAGAUCCAGGCUUUUGCUUGAAAAUGCACCUUGUGGGUUGUUGGACAGUAAGUUUGAGCAGGGCUGAAACAGGCUUCAUUUUGAGAAGGUUGUAUGACCUGAGAGUAGUGCAUCUGGCAGGUGCAGCUCCUCGCUCUCCUCGAGCUGGGGCCCACUGUUUGCUGUUAGGGGCUUUUUGGAGAAGGGCUUUUUGUCCAAGGGCAGUUUUAUUAUGUGAAAAAGCAGUACCAACUCUGCAUUUAUUUCCCUAGUUAUUUAUAAGUGUUUUCCCUUAGAGUGAAAAAACCCAGUGGGUUUUUAGAGCCCGAGAUUCAUUCUUUAGGUAAAUCACUUCUUAUAUGAGGUACAAAGGAGGAAUUGCAUGCUUUACUAUAGCGUAGUAUAAUUUCAGAAUGAUUCCACUUGAGAAUAUAUGUUUUUAAGAAAGUACCUUGGGGAGUUCCCGUCAUGGUUCAGUGGUUAACAAAUCCAACUAGGAACCAUGAGGUUGCAGGUUCGAUCCCUGCCCUCGCUUAGUGGGUUAAGGAUCUGGUGUUGCCGUGAGCUGUGGUGUAGGUUGCAGACGUGGCUCGGAUCUGGCGUUGCUGUGGCCGUGAUGUAGGCCAGUGGCUAUGGCUCCGAUUCGACCCCUAGCCUGGGAAUCUCCACAUGCCUUGGGUGUGGCCCUAGAAAAGACAAAAAGAC
ensembl:lncRNA